AUUCAUUCUCCCUGCUGGCCAUAGAAGUUGCAGGGAUGACUCAGAUCCGGCCCUACCUGGCAGGGUGCUAGGGUAGGCAUAUCCUAGGAGCAGCCAAGCUGAAUUCCUAGCUCCAGGGUGUAUCUGUAGUGGGAGGUAAGAGAUAAGGCCAGCAAGAGAGGCAGAACCUAGGUGGUGAAAAUUACACACUCCAGCCUCAGAAGCUUGGCCUUGAUCCUGAGGACACUGGAUCAUCUUGAGAACCCCACACUGAAGAGAGCUGCUCCUGUAGGACUUGAGUCCACAUCAGGACCACAGACACAGCCUGCAGUCUCAGAAUCCUGAUGCUGCCUUGUAAACAAGCCUGCUAGAGGGAUGUGAGAGAUACAUGGACAGAACACCUAUUUGAGCCAGUUCUCCCAGCCAGGGUCAUCUGAGACCAGCCAGUUGACUGUAGAGGUAUGAGUAUGUCCAGCCAAAGCCAGCCAAGCCUAUCCCAGAUCAGAAGAACCACCCACUUCGCCCAUAAAUUCAUGAGCAAUAAUAAAUGUGUAUUUUUUAAGCUCUGGUAUAUUUUGUUACACAGCAAUAGCUAACUGAUAUAGCAAGUCCAGGGGAAUGUAACUAUGAAGAAGGUGGUCUGUCAGUUUGACUUUAGUGAACACCAGCUGCCCCUAAAUAAUUACUCAUCUUCCACUGCAGCCCCAAGCACCAGCCAGGUUGCAACUGCCACCAACAUCUCCAUACAAAAGGACUGACCAGCCUAUGCAUAGGCUGUUUGGAACUGACUUUUUUGGGCUUUACAGGAUAUUGGUCAAAAAGGACUUUUGCUCAGGCAAAGAUGGUCUCCUCAGCAGAAGUCAGAUUAGCCAGCAGGAGCAGCUGGACCUCAAAACCAUGAUCAAAAAGAGAUGCCCUCUUUGCUCCAACAGUACAGAAGAGUAGGUCACCUAAAAAAUCAAAUCAAAUCAGAGUCCAGUAAGCAGGAAUAGACUAUGCCUGGAUGUGGACAGAAGUCUGAUCUCUUAAGAGAUUAUUUCUCCUUGCUCUGAUUCUCAAGUAUUUGAAUCUGGGACAUCUGAACACUAAAUAUCAGACCAGAGCUAGGGCUACACGGAUACAGAAUUUUGCCACUUAUAAAUGCAUUUGGGAAGGUUUUUUUUCCUAAGAAGAGCAUCCAUAGCUUUCAUAAGAUUCUCAGAAAAACUGUAACCUGAAAAACAACUGUAGAGAGAAUGCUGGAAGCAACAUUGCCUGCUGUUUAUCAAUGUUCCUACAGGUCUGACUCUGUGUAUUACUCUAUCCACAUGUUAUUGGAUGUACACAUUAUAAUUCCUAUAAGAAAAUUUAACCAUAUUAUAGGAUCUAUGUAUUUCUGUAGUUAUCUAUAUCUUAUAGGGAAUGUCACUCUACCUGUGACUUACCCUAAGUAUUUUCACUCUAAGUUGAUGCAUCUAUAUAUUACUGUAACAUAUAUAUAUUACUAUAGUUGUGUGAUACUGUAUAUUGAUACUGUAGCUGUCACUUUGUUAUGUAUCAUCCUUAGUAUAGCUAAAGGUUAUUAUAUGCAUAUGUAACUGUGGCUAAACAUUAUUGCAAUUACACUACUACAUUUGUAUGUUACUGUUUCCAUGCAACGAUUCUGUUAUUGUGUGUAGGACUCUAACGGUAUUACCGUAAAUCUGUGUUACCGUAUUUAUGUUAUUGUGUCAGGUGUUAAAGCACUUAUUACUGAAGUCAAGCUUAACUGCAACUAAAUGUUACCGUGAAUAUGCAUUUACUCCAAUAAUAAAACUGCAAUAGCUACCAUUCCUUAAGCACAUUCUAGGUGUUGGACCCUCUUCUGCUGCAUGGUUUACAUACAAUUACCUUACUAAUCAUACAAUAUGACAUUGUGCAGGUCUGUAUUAUUAUACCCAUUUUAUAGGUGAGGAAACUCAGGUGCAAGUAGGCUAAGUUACUUGCCCAAGGUCAUACCACCAGCAUGCAGCAGUGGAGGGCAGGGGAAGAACUUUGAACCCAGGUCUGUCUGACUAGCUAUUUGUGACAGCAGCUGUGUAACUCUAUAGACUGUUCUGUGUUUAGAGGCCAAGUACAGAAAAUGGCUCAUUGUUAACGAUAGGGAAGGUACUUGCUGGAUGUAGAAUAAGGUUUUUUAAACUAUCAACUUCAUUUUCUGACAUUUUUGUUGAGUUAGG
rnacentral:lncRNA from 10 species